rnacentral:rRNA from 1 species
AGCUCCAAUAGCGUAUAUUAAAGUUGUUGCAGUUAAAAAGCUCGUAGUUGGAUUUCUGGGAGGGUGCCAAUGUCCGUAAUAACGUGUGCAGCGGCGCCCUCUCAUCCUUCUGUUAGCGCCAUUCGGCAUUCGUUUGCCGGUGGCGGGCUCAGAUAUUUUACCUUGAGAAAAUUAGAGUGUUUCAGGCAGGCUAGGCCGGAAUACAUUAGCAUGGAAUAAUGGAAUAGGACUACGGUCUCUUUGUUGGUUUGAGGGACUGGAGUAAUGAUUAAUAGGGAUAGUUGGGGGCAUUAGUAUUUAAUUGUCAGCGGUGAAAUGCUUAGAUUUGUUAAAGACUAACUUAUGCGAAAGCAUUUGCCAAGGAUGUUUUCAUUA